GGAUUUUUAAGUUAAGUAAGACUGUUGAUUUUCAAAAUCAAAAGUAGAGUAAUACUCUAAAGUCUG
rnacentral:tRNA from 1 species